GUAAGGAAUAUUGGACAAUGGACGCAAGUCUGAUCCAGCCAUGCCGCGUGAAGGAUUAAGGUCCUCUGGAUUGUAAACUUCUUUUAUAAGGGACGAAAAAAGGCUUUUCUAAGUCGUCUGACGGUACCUUAUGAAUAAGCACCGGCUAACUCCGUGCAAGCAGCCGCGGUAAUACGGAGGGUGCAAGCGUUAUCCGGAUUCACUGGGUUUAAAGGGUGCGUAGGCGGGCAGGUAAGUCAGUGGUGAAAUCCUAGAGCUUAAUUCUAGAACUGCCAUUGAUACUAUCUGUCUUGAAUAUUGUGGAGGUAAGCGGAAUAUGUCAUGUAGCGGUGAAAUGCUUAGAUAUGACAUAGAACACCUAUGGCGAAGGCAGCUUACUACGCAUAUAUUGACGCUGAGGCACGAAAGCGUGGGGAUCAAACAGGAUUAGAAACCCUUGUAGUCC
rnacentral:rRNA from 1 species